CACUCCUGCGGGAGGCAGCAGUGGGGAAUAUUGCACAAUGGGCGCAAGCCUGAUGCAGCCAUGCCGCGUGUAUGAAGAAGGCCUUCGGGUUGUAAAGUACUUUCAGCGGGGAGGAAGGCAAUACGGUUAAUAACCGUGUUGAUUGACGUUACCCGCAGAAGAAGCACCGGCUAACUCCGUGCCAGCAGCCGCGGUAAUACGGAGGGUGCAAGCGUUAAUCGGAAUUACUGGGCGUAAAGCGCACGCAGGCGGUCUGUCAAGUCGGAUGUGAAAUCCCCGGGCUCAACCUGGGAACUGCAUUCGAAACUGGCAGGCUUGAGUCUUGUAGAGGGGGGUAGAAUUCCAGGUGUAGCGGUGAAAUGCGUAGAGAUCUGGAGGAAUACCGGUGGCGAAGGCGGCCCCCUGGACAAAGACUGACGCUCAGGUGCGAAAGCGUGGGGAGCAAACAGGAUUAGAUACCCCAGUAGUCCCA
rnacentral:rRNA from 1 species